rnacentral:rRNA from 1 species
UACGUAGGGGGCAAGCGUUGUCCGGAUUUAUUGGGCGUAAAGAGCGUGUAGGCGGCCAGAUAGGUCUGCUGUGAAAACUCGAGGCUCAACCUCGAGCUGUCGGCGGAAACCCUCUGGCUAGAGUCCGGAAGAGGAGAGUGGAAUUCCUGGUGUAGCGGUGAAAUGCGCAGAUAUCAGGAGGAACACCGGUGGCGAAGGCGGGUCUCUGGGCCGAUACUGACGCUGAGGAGCGAAAGCGUGGGGAGCGAACAGG